UACGAAGGGUGCAAGCGUUACUCGGAAUUACUGGGCGUAAAGCGUGCGUAGGCGGUUUGUUAAGUCUGUCGUGAAAGCCCUGGGCUCAACCUGGGAAUUGCGAUGGAUACUGGCAAGCUAGAGUACGGUAGAGGAUGGUGGAAUUCCCGGUGUAGCGGUGAAAUGCGUAGAGAUCGGGAGGAACACCCGUGGCGAAGGCGGCCAUCUGGACCAUUACUGACGCUGAGGCGCGAAAGCGUGGGGAGCAAACAGG
rnacentral:rRNA from 1 species